GUUACACAUGCCAGUUCUUCGUCUUAUCCAUUUACGAAGUUUUAGUUAAGGAGAGCAUCAUUUUGGUAUUUCCAAAAUGGAGCCAGAACAGCGGAAGAAGGAGGAAGAGGAGGAAAGGGAGGUAAAUCUGGACAAGAAGUUCUGUCAAAAGAGAAGGAGGAGGCCAGGUGAGGAGGCUCACACCUGUAAUCCCAGCACUUUGGGAGGCCAAAGCAGGC
rnacentral:lncRNA from 10 species